rnacentral:rRNA from 1 species
AUUGAACGCUGGCGGCAGGCCUAACACAUGCAAGUCGAACGCGUGGCGGACGGGUGAGUAAUGUCUGGGAAACUGCCUGAUGGAGGGGGAUAACUACUGGAAACGGUAGCUAAUACCGCAUACCAUCGGAUGUGCCCAGAUGGGAUUAGCUAGUAGGUGGGGUAAUGGCUAACUUAGGCGACGAUCCCUAGCUGGUCUGAGAGGAUGACCAUCCACACUGGAACUGGGUUACGGUCCAGCCUCCUCCGUGAGGCAGCAGUGGGGAUUAUUGCACAAUGGGCGCAAGCCUGAUGCAGCCAUGCCGCGUGUAUGAAGAAGGCCUUCGGGUUGUAAAGCACUUUAAUUUGGGAGACGUUACCAACAGAGUAAGCACCGGCUAACUUCGUGCCAGCAGCCGCGGUAAUAC